UACAGAGGUCUCAAGCGUUGUUCGGAUUCAUUGGGCGUAAAGGGUGCGUAGGUGGCGCGCUAAGUCGGGUGUGAAAUUUCGGAGCUUAACUCCGAAACUGCAUUCGAUACUGGCGUGCUUGAGGACUGGAGAGGAGACUGGAAUUCAUGGUGUAGCAGUGGAAUGCGUAGAGAUCAUGAGGAAGACCAGUGGCGAAGGCGGGUCUCUGGACAGUUCCUGACACUGAGGCACGAAGGCCAGGGGAGCAAACGGG
rnacentral:rRNA from 1 species